CGUAACAAGGUCUCCGUUGGUGAACCAGCGGAGGGAUCAUUACAGAGUUGCAAAACUCCCACAAACCAUCGCGAAUCUUACCCGUACGGUUGCCUCGGCGCUGGCGGUCCGGAAGGCCCUCGGGCCCCCCGGAUCCUCGGGUCUCCCGCUCGCGGGAGGCUGCCCGCCGGAGUGCCGAAACCAAACUCUUGAUAUUUUAUGUCUCUCUGAGUAAACUUUUAAAUAAGUCAAAACUUUCAACAACGGAUCUCUUGGUUCUGGCAUCGAUGAAGAACGCAGCGAAAUGCGAUAAGUAAUGUGAAUUGCAGAAUUCAGUGAAUCAUCGAAUCUUUGAACGCACAUUGCGCUCGCCAGUAUUCUGGCGAGCAUGCCUGUUCGAGCGUCAUUUCAACCAUCAAGCUCUGCUUGCGUUGGGGAUCCGCGGCUGCCCGCGGUCCCUCAAAAACAGUGGCGGGCUCGCUAGUCACACCGAGCGUAGUAACUCUACAUCGCUAUGGUCGUGCGGCGGGUUCUUGCCGUAAAACCCCCCAAUUUCUAAGGUUGACCUCGGAUCAGGUAGGAAUACCCGCUGAACUUAAGCAUAUCA
rnacentral:rRNA from 1 species